GCGGGUGUGGCGGAACGGCAGACGCGCAUGGUUCAGGUCCAUGUGGGGGCAACCCCGUGGAGGUUCAACUCCUCUCACCCGCACCA
rnacentral:tRNA from 1 species